ACGACUUUACUUGAACAGGAUCUGUUCUAUAGGCUCGUACCUCUGUAUCCUUGAGUUCUAAGGAGACAGGAAUCGAAGUCUGGUGGAUGAAUUUGAACCCUGCGAUCAAUUAAUUGCCUUGGGAUCUCAAGACUUUAGAUUCUAUGGGCCGUAGAGGAUCGUUCUCAGCCAUCAAGUAGCUGGGAUGAUCGCACGGUUGUCUGACAGACU
rnacentral:snoRNA from 1 species